rnacentral:ncRNA from 1 species
GAGCCGUGCGUGCCACGGGCCACGGACCACGGAAUCGGAAUCGGCGGGUGCUGGGUGCUCCAAGCUCCAAGUCCAAGUGGGCCAUUUUUGGUAAGCAGAACUGGCCGUGCGGGAUGAACCGGAAGCCGGGUUACGGUGCCCAACUGCGCGCUAACCUAGAACCCACAAAGGGUGUUGGUCGAUUAAGACAGCAGGACGGUGGUCAUGGAAGUCGAAAUCCGCUAAGGAGUGUGUAACA